CCAGACUCCUACGGGAGGCAGCAGUGAGGAAUAUUGGUCAAUGGGCGCGAGCCUGGACCAGCCAAGUCGCGUGAGGGAUGACGGCCCUACGGGUUGUAAACCUCUUUUGCCGGGGAGCAACGGGCGCCACGUGUGGCGCCACUGAGAGUACCCGGAGAAAAAGCAUCGGCUAACUCCGUGCCAGCGGCCGCGGUAAUACGGAGGAUGCGAGCGUUAUCCGGAUUUACUGGGUGUAAAGGGGGCGCAGACGGCAGCGCAAGCCAGGGGUGAAAGCCCGGGGCCCAACCCCGGGACUGCCCUUGGAACUGCAUGGCUGGAGUGCGGGAGGGGCAGGCGGAAUUCCUGGUGUAGCGGUGAAAUGCGUAGAUAUCAGGAGGAACACCGGCGGCGAAGGCGGCCUGCUGGACCGCGACUGACGUUGAGGCUCGAAAGCGUGGGGAGCGAACAGGAUUAGAUACCCCAGUAUU
rnacentral:rRNA from 1 species